rnacentral:rRNA from 1 species
ACCUAUGACCACACCAUUCUAGGUGUGCCUGAUAUGGUCCAUUCUCUGAUGCUAAGCAGGGCUGGGCCAGGUCAGUACCUCAGUGAGAGACUACAUGGGAACACCAAGUGCUGUAGGCU